rnacentral:rRNA from 1 species
ACAGGGAUUGCCCUAGUAACGGCGAGUGAAGCGGCAACAGCUCAAAUUUGAAAUCUGGCUCUUUUAGGGUCCGAGUUGUAAUUUGCAGAGGGCGCUUUGGCGUUGGCAGCGGUCCAAGUUCCUUGGAACAGGACGUCACAGAGGGUGAGAAUCCCGUACGUGGUCGCUGGCCUUCGCCGUGUAAAGCCCCUUCGACGAGUCGAGUUGUUUGGGAAUGCAGCUCUAAAUGGGAGGUAAAUUUCUUCUAAAGCUAAAUACUGGCCAGAGACCGAUAGCGCACAAGUAGAGUGAUCGAAAGAUGAAAAGCACUUUGGAAAGAGAGUCAAAUAGCACGUGAAAUUGUUGAAAGGAAGCGCUUGCAGCCAGACUUGCCUGUAGUUGCUCAUCUGGGCUUUUGUCCAGUGCACUUUCUACAGGCAGGCCAGCAUCAGUUUGGGCGGUUGGAUAAAGGUCUCUGUCACGUACCUCCCUUCGGGGAGGCCUUAUAGGGAGACGACAUGCAACCAGCCUGGACUGAGGUCCGCGCAUCUGCUAGGAUGCUGGCGUAAUGGCUGUAAGCGGCCCGUCUUGAAACACGGACCAAGGAGUCUAACAUCUAUGCGAGUGUUUGGGUGUCAAGCCCGGACGCGUAAUGAAAGUGAACGGAGGUGGGAACCCUUUUAGGGUGCACCAUCGACCGAUCCUGAUGUCUUCGGAAGGAUUUGAGUAAGAGCAUGGCUGUUGGGACCCGAAAGAUGGUGAACUAUGCUUGAAUAGGGUGAAGCCAGAGGAAACUCUGGUGGAGGCUCGCAGCGGUUCUGACGUGCAAAUCGAUCGUCAAAUUUGGGCAUAGGGGCGAAAGACUAAUCGAACUAUCUAGUAGCUGGUUCCUGCCGAAG